GUUGAACGCUGGCGGCGUGCCUAAUACAUGCAAGUCGAGCGAACAGACGAGGAGCUUGCUCCUCUGACGUUAGCGGCGGACGGGUGAGUAACACGAGGAUAACCUACCUAUAAGACUGGGAUAACUUCGGGAAACCGGAGCUAAUACCGGAUAAUAUAUUGAACCGCAUGGUUCAAUAGUGAAAGACGGUUUUGCUGUCACUUAUAGAUAGAUCCGCGCCGCAUUAGCUAGUUGGUAAGGUAACGGCUUACCAAGGCAACGAUGCGUAGCCGACCUGAGAGGGUGAUCAGCCACACUGGAACUGAGACACGGUCCAGACUCCUACGGGAGGCAGCAGUAGGGAAUCUUCCGCAAUGGGCGAAAGCCUGACGGAGCAACGCCGCGUGAGUGAUGAAGGUCUUCGGAUCGUAAAACUCUGUUAUUAGGGAAGAACAAAUGUGUAAGUAACCAUGCACGUCUUGACGGUACCUAAUCAGAAAGCCACGGCUAACUACGUG
rnacentral:rRNA from 1 species